GAUGAACGCUGGCGGCGUGCCUAAUACAUGCAAGUCGAGCGAACGGACGAGAAGCUUGCUUUUCUGAUGUUAGCGGCGGACGGGUGAGUAACACGUGGAUAACCUACCUAUAAGACUGGGAUAACUUCGGGAAACCGGAGCUAAUAUCGGAUAAUAUUUUGAACCGCAUGGUUCAAAAGUGAAAGACGGUCUUGCUGUCACUUAUAGAUGGAUCCGCGCUGCAUUAGCUAGUUGGUAAGGUAACGGCUUACCAAGGCAACGAUGCAUAGCCGACCUGAGAGGGUGAUCGGCCACACUGGAACUGAGACACGGUCCAGACUCCUACGGGAGGCAGCAGUAGGGAAUCUUGCGCAAUGGGCGAAAGCCUGACGGAGCAACGCCGCGUGAGUGAUGAAGGUCUUCGGAUCGUAAAACUCUGUUAUUAGGGAAGAACAUAUGUGUAAGUAACUGUGCACGUCUUGACGGUACCUAAUCAGAAAGCCACGGCUAACUACGUG
rnacentral:rRNA from 1 species